rnacentral:rRNA from 1 species
CCUACGGGUGGCAGCAGUGGGGAAUAUUGCACAAUGGGGGAAACCCUGAUGCAGCGACGCCGCGUGAGUGACGAAGUUGUUCGUCAUGUAAAGCUCUAUCAGCCGGGAAGCAAAUGCAGGUACCUGAGUAAGAAGCCCCGGCUAACUACGUGCCAGCAGCCGCGGUAAUACGGCGGGGGCAAGCGUUAUCCGGAUUUACUGGGGGUAAAGGGGUCGUAGGCGGCAGUGCAAGUCUGGAGUGAAAGGCGAGGGUUGAAACCCCGGACUGCUCUUGAAACUGUACGGCUGGAGUGCAGGAGAGGUAAGUGGAAUGCCGAGUGUAGCGGUGAAAUGCGUAGAUAUUAGGAGGAACACCAAUUGCGAAGGCGGCAUACUGGACGGGAACUGACGCUGAGGCACGAAAGCGUGGGGAGCGAACAGGAUUAGAUACCCUUGUAGUC